rnacentral:rRNA from 2 species
ACAGGGAUUGCCUCAGUAACGGCGAGUGAAGCGGCAACAGCUCAAAUUUGAAAUCUGGCCCCAGGCCCGAGUUGUAAUUUGCAGAGGAUGCUUCUGGCGCGGUGCCUUCCAAGUCCCCUGGAACGGGGCGCCGAAGAGGGUGAGAGCCCCGUCCGGUCGGCCGCCAAGCCUGUGUGAAGCUCCUUCGACGAGUCGAGUAGUUUGGGAAUGCUGCUCUAAACGGGAGGUAGACCCCUUCUAAAGCUAAAUACCGGCCAGAGACCGAUAGCGCACAAGUAGAGUGAUCGAAAGAUGAAAAGCACUUUGAAAAGAGGGUUAAAAAGUACGUGAAAUUGUUGAAAGGGAAGCGCUUGUGACCAGACGUGUGCCGGGGUGUUCAGCGGGCGUUCUCGCCCGUGCACUCGCCCCGGCACAGGCCAGCGUCGGUUCGCGCGGGGGGACAAAGGCGCCGGGAACGUAGCUCCUCCGGGAGUGUUAUAGCCCGGCGUGCCAUGCCCCCGCGCGGACCGAGGUUCGCGCUCCGCAAGGACGCUGGCGUAAUGGUCUCCAGCGGCCCGUCUUGAAACACGGACCAAGGAGUCGAGGUUUUGCGCGAGUGUUUGGGUGUCAAACCCGCACGCGUAAUGAAAGUGAACGCAGGUGGGAGCUUCGGCGCACCACCGACCGAUCCUGAUGUUCUCGGAUGGAUUUGAGUAGGAGCGUAGGGCCUCGGACCCGAAAGAUGGUGAACUAUACGUGGAUAGGGUGAAGCCAGAGGAAACUCUGGUGGAGGCUCGCAGCGGUUCUGACGUGCAAAUCGAUCGUCAAAUCUGCGUAUGGGGGCGAAAGACUAAUCGAACCAU